GAUGAACGCUAGCGGCAGGCCUAAUACAUGCAAGUCGGACGGGAUUCAGGAGCUUGCUUCUGCUGAGAGUGGCGCACGGGUGCGUAACACGUAUGUAACCUACCUUUAUCAGGGGGAUAGCCUCUCGAAAGAGAGAUUAAGCCCGCAUAAAAUCACAGCACAGCAUUGUGUAAUGAUCAAAUAUUUAUAGGAUAAAGAUGGGCAUGCGGAACAUUAGCUAGAUGGCGGGGUAACGGCCCACCAUGGCGACGAUGUUUAGGGGAUCUGAGAGGAUGGCCCCCCACACUGGUACUGAGACACGGACCAGACUCCUACGGGAGGCAGCAGUAAGGAAUAUUGAUCAAUGGGCGGAAGCCUGAACCAGCCAUGCCGCGUGCAGGAAGACGGCCCUACGGGUUGUAAACUGCUUUUAUACGGGAAUAAACCCAGAUACGUGUAUCUGGCUGAAUGUACUGUAAGAAUAAGGAUCGGCUAACUCCGUG
rnacentral:rRNA from 1 species